rnacentral:misc_RNA from 1 species
UUUCCGUAGGUGAACCUGCGGAAGGAUCAUUAAUGAGUUGUCAUGGGGUUCGAUGCUGGCAGCCAAUUUUUGGAUGCAUGUGCUUGCCCUAACAAUCAUCUUCCAAACACCUGUGCACAUUUUUGAGGGAGUCUUGAGUUGGUUGCCGCUCUUGGGUGAUUUUCUCACAUUCCCUUAAAUCAUUAUACGCUAUUAACAAUGUUGAACGUGCUCUGUCCCGCAAGGCUAUUAAUAUAAUACAACUUUUAACAACGGAUCUCUUGGCUCUC